AUUUCAGCUAAGUAAAACUGUCGAAAGGCAGUGACGUAAAGCUAUAGGGCCUGGAAUGGCAGCCAGCUGCAAUU
rnacentral:ncRNA from 1 species